rnacentral:rRNA from 1 species
GAUGAACGCUGGCGGCGUGCCUAAUACAUGCAAGUCGAGCGAACGGACGAGAAGCUUGCUUCUCUGAUGUUAGCGGCGGACGGGUGAGUAACACGUGGAUAACCUACCUAUAAGACUUGGAUAACUUCGGGAAACCGGAUCUAAUACCGGAUAAUAUUUUGAACCGCAUGGUUCAAAAGUGAAAGACGGUCUUGCUGUCACUUAUAGAUGGAUCCGCGCUGCAUUAGCUAGUUGGUAAGGUAACGGCUUACCAAGGCAACGAUGCAUAGCCGACCUGAGAGGGUGAUCGGCCACACUGGAACUGAGACACGGUCCAGACUCCUACGGGAGGCAGCAGUAGGGAAUCUUCCGCAAUGGGCGAAAGCCUGACGGAGCAACGCCGCGUGAGUGAUGAAGGUCUUCGGAUCGUAAAACUCUGUUAUUAGGGAAGAACAUAUGUGUAAGUAACUGUGCACAUCUUGACGGUACCUAAUCAGAAAGCCACGGCUAACUACGUG